CUACGAUUCGCCUUGCCGAAUUCACCAAACGUUGGAUUGUUCACCCACUAAUAGGGAACGUGAGCUGGGAUUAGACCGUCGUGAGACUGGUUAGUUUUACCCAACUGAUGUUGUGUUGUUGCAAUAGUAAUCCUGCUCAGUACGAGAGGAACUGCAGAUUCAGACAUUUGGUGUAUGUGCUUGGCUGAGGAGCCAAUGGUGCGAAGCUACCAUCUGUGGGAUUAUGACUGAACGCCUCUAAGUCAGAAUCCUGCCUAAAUGUAACGAUACCCUAGCGCCGU